GCAUAAUCAUUCGCCUAUUAAUUGUGGGCUGGAAUACAAACGGCUAGACGAUAGAAGCUCUGUCUCUCUUUAUUGUUAUUUGAAUUUAACUUUAUGGUGAAGAGGCCAUAAUUUAUUAGUGGGACGAGAAGACCCUAUAGAGCUUUACUUUAAAAGUAAUUUUACUUAUUACUAAAAAGUUUAGUUGGGGCAACUUUCUUUUAUGUAAAACAAAGAAUGAUAAUAAAAUAAUCUAAUUUUGGUGACCUGAAAUUUUUUAAUUAAAGGAAAAAGUUACCUUAGGGAUAACAGCGUAAUUCUUCUUGAGAGUACUUAUUGACAGAAGAGCUUGCGACCUCGAUGUUGGAUCAGAAAACCCUGGAUGUGCAGCAGCCUCUAAGGGGGUUUGUUAG
rnacentral:rRNA from 1 species